rnacentral:rRNA from 1 species
AUUGAACGCUGGCGGCAGGCCUAACACAUGCAAGUCGAGCGGGGUUUUCGGACCUAGCGGCGGACGGGUGAGUAAUGCGUAGGAAGCUGCCCGAUAGAGGGGGAUACCAGUUGGAAACGACUGUUAAUACCGCAUAAUGUCUACGGACCAAAGUGUGGGACCUUCGGGCCACAUGCUAUCGGAUGCGCCUACGUGGGAUUAGCUAGUUGGUGAGGUAAUGGCUCACCAAGGCGACGAUCUCUAGCUGGUUUGAGAGGAUGAUCAGCCACACUGGAACUGAGACACGGUCCAGACUCCUACGGGAGGCAGCAGUGGGGAAUAUUGGACAAUGGGCGCAAGCCUGAUCCAGCCAUGCCGCGUGUGUGAAGAAGGCCUUCGGGUUGUAAAGCACUUUCAGCGAGGAGGAAGGGGUGUGUGUUAAUAGCUGCAACCUUUGACGUUACUCGCAGAAGAAGCACCGGCUAACUCUGUGCCAGCCGCCGCAGUAACAC